rnacentral:sRNA from 1 species
GCUGGGCGUGGUGGCGGGCGCCUGUAAUCCCAGCUGCUUGGGAGGCUGAGGCAGGAGAAUCACUUGAACCCAGGAGGCGGAGUUUGCAUUGAGCCGAGAUUGCACCAUGGCACUCCAGCCUGGGCAACAAAGUGAGACUCUGUCUCAA